UACAGAGGGUGCAAGCGUUAAUCGGAAUUACUGGGCGUAAAGCGUGCGUAGACGGUUAUGUAAGUCAGAUGUGAAAGCCCCGGGCUUAACCUGGGAAUGGCAUUUGAGACUGCAUAGCUAGGGUGCGGAAGAGGGAAGCGGAAUUUCCGGUUUAGCGGUGAAAUGCGUAGAUAUCGGAAGGAACACCAGUGGCGAAAGCGGCUUCCUGGUCCAGCACCGACGUUCAGGCACGAAAGCGUGGGGAGCAAACAGG
rnacentral:rRNA from 1 species